UCCUUGAUCAGUCUUAUCUCUUUCAGCAGCUCCUUUGAUUAGGAAGGAGCUGAUAUCCAAAGAAAUGUGCAUCAUUUGUUUUUUACUCCUUUUGAUUUGGAACGUGAUGAAACAUAGAUGACACAACUUGUUCAUAUUAUAGUACAAAACAAUGGAUAUAUAGUUUGGAGCCACACCGAAAGAGCUUUUGAUCAAUCUUUUACGAGUGACUGUUGACAUCAUUCUUCACUGGUCACUUAGUUUACUACAAGUGCUGGAAUUGUUUGCAUGUACUCCACUGUACCUAAUUAAAGUAUGUCGACACCCAUCCUGGUAGUAAAUGACGUUGCAUAAUACUCUAUCAGAUCCAAAUCAUAAAUAUUUCGAUAUUAUCCAGCAGUCAUAGAUUAAAUACAAAUAAGAACAAUAGUCAUUGAUAAGAUGGGUUCAAAUGUGAAGUUGGGAUUGGAACUCUGCCUUCAAAAUCUGUAUUAGUUCGCUCUAUAUACUAAGUGAACACAUAUUCACAUAUCCCACUUAUACAUCCAUUUGAAUUUCGUGUAAAUGGAUGCCCUCAUCACCUAAAUUUGCAAGUUAGCAGUAAACCAUCCUCAUCCACCUAAAUUUGCAAGGUAGUAGUAAAUCAUCACCACACAAUAACUUGCGGACUACCUAAGCCUAAACAACACCACUGCUAGGUUUCAAAUAGGUUGAGUUGUUAUAUUCACUACACUUAAGGAAUGAUGCUCCUUAUCUCACCGUUUACAUAAUAGAGGUCUAGAGCUCCUCCGAUGUAGACCAUGACAUAAAACACAUGCAUCAUGCAACAUAGAUUUAUGCUCUGAUACCAAUUAUAAUACCCUGCUUCUAAAUGGAACUUUUAUACUCUCUUCGUAUAAAAGGGUUAAUCUUGGCAUACCAUGAUUAAAGCAGUGAGACUUAUAAGUGGCACUUACCAAUAUAAGCUCCUAUGGUACUACUAAACCACCAACACACAAUCACUUAUGGGACUUAUAAGACCAAACCACACAGCCACUAGUCUUCAAAUAAGCUGGGUAUUAUAAUUACAAACAUGAAAUUGGGUUUAUUUUAUUUUAUUAAUGUAACUUCUAUAUGAAAAUUUUUAAAACGUAAUGUUUAACAAUUCUAUAAACAGGCUAAUGAAAAAGAAGUGAGAAGCUUAAGCCUGUAAUCACUCCAAACUUAAUAAAUGAGCAUGAUUGGGCGCGAAGGGUGAUUGACAGUUAGAUGAGAACAAGUUUAAAUAUAAAGUGAUUGGUUGGAGUAUAAAGUUUUUAAUUGCAUGAACUUCUUGCCCGUUUUACUAAUUAAUGGAACUUUGGGAGCUAAUUUGUUGAAUAAGAACAUCUCAAAGGAACCCAAGCUGGAAAGUGCCAUCCCACUAGUCUCACUCAUACUCAUGUAGCAACAUAUUAUUUUGCAUCCAGAUUAAAGGCAUCAAAUGAAAAUUAUUUUUACCUUCUUAAUAGGAUCACUACGCCAGAACGGCACACCUGUGACGGAAUACCACUGACGGGCCAAUGGCCCGGUCAGAGUUAUCCAUCACCUCUGACGGGUUGUAACCACAUCCAUCACAGGUGUGGCAUCCUGCCGCGGCCUGAGCUAGGCCUAGCAGCGGCCCGUCACUGGGGUUCGAUACCACUGACAGGCCAACGUGGAAAACCGUCACAGGUGAUAUCCCAUCACGUGUGACGGGCCGUACAACUUAAGCCGUUUCUAGUAUGCCGUCACAGGUGACGGCAUUUCCAGCUCUAAACCGUCACAGUUGACAUCCCACUACCUUUGGCGGGUAAUUCUAUAAAACCGUCUAAGGCGUGUAUUCGUGCUAUAAAUACCCCCUAACUGCCAACUGUUUUCUAUCCCGACCAGUGCACUGUUCACAGUUGGGUUGGGAGGACAAAUGGGGCGAAUUUUUGCAAAAAUUGGAGGUAAAAUAAGAUGUUUGACUUUUUUCUUUCAAUGUUUGACCAUUUGUCUUAUUCCAAAAAUAAUGGAAAUAUUUUAUAAUAUUUUUUCAAUCAAACAUCAUAUAAUAUUUCUCUAUGUUAUUUAUUGCAGAUGGAUCGGAAGUGGAUGUACCAUGUUCAUCGUUCAUCCACGGAGUAUAGGGAGGGGGUCACUGAAUUUAUUAAAUUUGCGGACAAUGACAGGAAAAGCAGGAUGAGCCUNNNNNNNNNNNNNNNNNNNNNNNNNNNNNNNNNNNGAUGAUCCCUGAUAGUUCAGAAGUGCAUUCUCAUUUGAUAAGGAGAGGAUUCAUGGAGAAUUAUACAUGUUGGAGCAAGCAUGGAGAGCAAGAGGCACCUGAUGUUGAUGUUGAUGAGAAAGUGUCGGAUCAAAAUACAGUGAACGUCGCCGCAGUUCCAGAAAGCAUGUUUGUACCGUCUUCGUUAGGUGGAGAUACCAUUGAUGUCUAUCUCAAAUAUUGCAUGACAUUGAAGACGCAGAUGACAACGACAGAGACUUUGAGAAGUUUAGUAAGUUGGUGGAAGACUGUCAAAUACCCUUGUAUGAUGGAUGUAAGUCGAAGCACACCAAGUUGUCAUGUGUGUUGGAACUCAUGAAGCUUAAGGCAAGUAAUGGAUGGUCCGACAAGAGUUUCACAUAACUUCUUGAGCUAUUAAUGGAUAUGUUGCCAGAGGGGAACAAAUUACCGUAGACAGACAUACGAAGCUAAGCAAGUGUUAUGUCCGUUGGGUCUAGAAGUCAAAAGAAUUCAUGCAUGUCCGAACGACUGUAUUUUGUAUUACAAGCAAUAUGCUGACCUGGAUGUUUGCCCUGUAUGUGGGGCUUGUAGAUACAAACGUGCAAAAACUACAGGUGAAGGAAGUAAGUCAAAGAGGAGAGAACCUGCAAAGGUUGUGUGGUAUCUCCCAAUUGCGGAGCGCAUGAAGAGAACAUUUGCGAAUAAGGAACAAACAAAGCUAGUGCGUUGGCAUGCCAAAGAACGGAAAGUCGAUGGCAAGCUAAGACACCUAGUAGGUGAUUUGAGCAGCCGUCAUAGUACUUGUGAACUAUAACCUCCCUCUCUGGUUUUGCUUCAAAAGAAAAUAUAUUAUGCUUGUCAUGCUCAUUCAAGGACCGAGACAACCUGGCAACGAUAUUGAUGUGUUUCUUGAACCAAUGAUCGAUGACUUCGCGACGCUUUGGAAUAAGGUACACGUACUUGGGACGCAUAUGCACAGGAGUAUUUCAACCUCCAUGCGAUGGUGUUUAAUACCAUCAACGAUUAUCCAGCCCUUGGCAAUCUUUCUGGCCAAACGGUCAAAGGAAAAUGGGCAUGUUUGGAGUGUAUGGAGGAAACAAGAAGCAAAUGGUUGAAGCAUUCACACAAGAUGGUCUACAUGGGUCACAUGAGAUUUCUCCCACGCUAUCACUUUUAUAGGAAUAUGACAAAAUUUCAACAGCCACAGAGAUACAGCCAGACCCCCACAACAGCUAACAGGGACAGAUGUGCACAACUUAUUGAUGGGAAUAACCAACGAGUUUGGAAAAAAGAGAAAAACUAUAAAGGGAAAAGAUAAGAACACGUGGAAGAAAAAAUCAAUAUUUUGGAGACUACCAUACUGGAAGGAUCUUGACGUUCGCCACUGCAUAGAUCUGAUGCAUGUCGAGAAGAAUAUAUGUGAGAGUUUGAUGGGGUUACUGCUUAACCCUGGUAGUACAAAGGAUGGUCUCAAUGCCCGACGAGAUCUACAAGACAUGGGUGUUUGUCCUGAGCUACAUCCCGUUACCAUGGAGUCCGGCAGGGUAUACCUUCCUCCAGCUUGCUACACUCUAUCGAAAGAUGAGAAGAUGAAUUUGUUGACAUGUCUUAGUGGUAUAAAGGUUUCAUCUAGUUACUCGUCAAGAAUUAGUAGGUUCGUUUCACUGCAAGACCUGAAGCUGGUAGGAAUGAAGUCGCACGAUUGUCACGUUCUUAUCACACAGCUGUUGCCCGUUGCAAUAAGGAAUAUUUUGCCUCUAGAGGUGCGACACACGAUAAUGCGGUUGUGUUCCUUCUUCCAUGCUAUCGGCCAGAAGAUCAUUGACCCUGAGGGACUAGAUGAACUAUAGGCAGAAAUUGUGAGAACGCUAUGUCAUUUGGAGAUGUACUUUCCUCCUACUUUCUUUGAUAUAAUGAUACAUCUUCCAGUGCAUCUUGUUAGACAAACAAAGUGUUGUGGGCCUGCUUUCAUGAGGCAGAUGUAUCCGUGUGAAAGGUAUAUGGGGAUCCUAAAGGGUUUUGUACAGAACCAAUCCUACCCCGAGGGAAGCAUCGUUGAGAGUUACACCAGCGAAGAGGUCAUCGAUUUUUGUGUGGACUACCUGUCAGAAACCUCUUCAAUUGGAUUACCACGAUCUCAUCANNNNNNNNNNNNNNNUGUUGGACGGAAAAUAGUUAGGAUGGAUCGAAAGGUGUAUGACAAGGCUCAUUUCACGGUACUCACGUAUAUGACUGAGGUAGCGCCGUAUGUUGAUGAACACUUGGGAUUUCUCCGACAUGACAACCCAGGCCGAUCAGAUAGUUCGAUUAGAAACAAGCACAUGUCUUCCUUCAACGAGUGGUUUAAGAACAGAAUUGCAAUCGAGCAGAACUUGUCCAGUGAAACACUGAAUUGGUUGUCACAGGGUCCUGAAUGGAGUGCCACAACCACCUUUCACACGAUCAAGCAAGACAGUAAAUGCACAGUGCAGAACAGUGGGUUGCGCAUUGAGACCGAUAGCGACGAUGGUGGUAGGCGUGAUCAGUACUAUGGUAGAGUAGAGCAAAUAUUGGAGCUAGACUACUUGAAGUUCAAAGUCCCGUUGUUCGUUGUCGCUGGGUCGAUCUUGGCAAUGUAAAAGUUGAUACGGAAGGUUUCACCACUGUCAAUCUGGCUAACAACGCCUAUAAGGAUGAACCUUUCGUUCUCGCCAAACAAGUUGUUCAGGUCUUCCGUAUACUUGAUCCGUGUAACAAGAAGCUACAUGUUGUUCGUGAAGGCAAAAGAAGAAUUGUUGGAUUGGAUAAUAUCACAAACGAAGACGACUACAACCAUCACGUGCAUGGCAUAGGUCAAGAAAUACCUCUAGAAGAGGAGGAAGAAGAAGAUGGUGUUCAACAAGCCCGUGUUGACCAUGAGGAAGGAUUAUUUUUGUAAUUUAUGUCCACAUGCACCCGCAUAAAUGAAGUGGAUAAAUUUUUCGAUGAAUUUUGAAUUAUUAUGAUAAAUUGCAUGAAUUAUGGAUGAAUUAAGGAUUAUUUUGAUGUAGUGGAAGAAUUUUUCGAUGAAUUUAGGAUUAUUUUGAUGUAGUGGAUGAAUUUUUCGAUGAAUUUAAGAUUAUUUUGAUGUAGUGGAUUAAUUUUUCGAUGAAUUUUAAAUUAUUGUAUGAAUGGAUGAAUUUUAGAUGAAUUUACGAUUAUUUUGAUGCUGUAUGUUUUUAUUUUACUAAUUAAUUAAAAAAUAAUACACUGGGUUAACCUUCAAGAGGCCGAACCCUAGGUCAACUAGGGUCAACCUUACCUUUGACGGGUAGCAACUAUGGGCCCGUCACAGAUAUGUUUACCUGUGACGGGUUGCAACAAUAGAGCCGUCAAAGGUCCUAACAUCUUUGACGACUCCAUAUCUUCAACCUGUCAUAGGUAUGUUUACCUGUGACGGGCCCGUUGUUGGCGCCCGUCACAGAUAUCUUUGACCCUUGUUGACUUAGGGUUCGGCUCUUCAAGGUUAACCCGAGCAGUGCGUCUCUCACUGUCUCCCAAACUUCGCCGCCGCCUCCCCGCGUUCNNNNNNNNNNNNNNNNNNNNNNNNNNNNNNNNNNNNNNNNNNNNNNNNNNNNNNNNNNNNNNNNNNNNNNNNNNNNNNNNNNNNNNNNNNNNNNNNNNNNNNNNNNNNNNNNNNNNNNNNNNNNNNNNNNNNNNNNNNNNNNNNNNNNNNNNNNNNNNNNNNNNNNNNNNNNNNNNNNNNNNNNNNNNNNNNNNNNNNNNNNNNNNNNNNNNNNNNNNNNNNNNNNNNNNNNNNNNNNNNNNNNNNNNNNNNNNNNNNNNNNNNNNNNNNNNNNNNNNNNNNNNNNNNNNNNNNNNNNNNNNNNNNNNNNNNNNNNNNNNNNNNNNNNNNNNUGCCUCUUCUCCUGGACCAGGUAGGCCGCCCCCCCUUUGAUGAAUGGAUGGUUUUUUGAUGUAUGAAUGCAUUUUAGUUACUGCAUUAGAUGAAUGGAUGAUUUUUUGAUGAAUGCAGUUAGUGCAUUACAUGAAAGGAUGAAUUUUGGAUGAAUGAAUAUAUGACUUUUGGAUGAAUGGAUGCAUUUCAAUUAGUGCAUUAGAUGAAUGGAUGAAUUCUGGAUGAAUGAAUGGAUGAAUUUUAGAUAAAUGAAUGAAUGGAUGAAUUUUAGAUAAAUGAAUGAAUGGAUGAAUUUUAGAUAAAUGAAUGAAUGGAUGAAUUUUAGAUAAAUGAAUGAAUGGAUGAAUUUUAGAUAAAUGAAUGAAUGGAUGAAUUUUAGAUAAAUGAAUGAAUGGAUGAAUUUUAGAUAAAUGAAUGAAUGGAUGAAUUUUAGAUAAAUGAAUGAAUGGAUGAAUUUUAGAUAAAUGAAUGAAUGGAUGAAUUUUAGAUAAAUGAAUGAAUGGAUGAAUUUUNNNNNNNNNNNNNNNNNNNNNNNNNNNNNNNNNNNNNNNNNNNNNNNNNNNNNNNNNNNNNNNNNNNNNNNNNNNNNNNNNNNNNNNNNNNNNNNNNNNNNNNNNNNNNNNNNNNNNNNNNNNNNNNNNNNNNNNNNNNNNNNNNNNNNNUUUCGAUGGAUGAAUGGUCAGUGAUGAAUGCUCAAGAACAGAUUAGCUACACUUGAUUAUUUUGUUGGUUUUAAAGUUGCCAUUUUUUGCUCAAGAACAAAUUACCAACACUUGGUCUUUUUAGGUUUUUAUGUCGGUUGUUUUAUGCUGACAAAGAGAUUAUGUCAACUUGGUCUUUUAUAGGUUUUAAUGAUGGAUUUCUGCAUAGCUCAAGAGCAUAUUAGCUACACUUGAUUAUUUUGUUGGUUUUAAAGUUGCCAUUUUUUGCUCAAGAACAGAUUACCAACACUUGGUCUUUCUAGGUUUUCAUGUCGGCUGGGGUAUGCUGACAAACAGAUUAUGUCAACUUGGUCUUUUAUAGGUUUCAAUGACGGCUUUAUGCUUUGCUCAAGAACAAAUUAACUACACUUUAUUAUUUUUUUGGUUUUAAAGUUGCUGAUAUUUGGCUCAAGAACAAAUUAUCUACACUUGUUCUUUUUUUAAAAAAAGUUGGUUGUUUUAACGUCGCAUUUUUCCUUUAGGCAAAUAAUGGUAUUUGAUGCAUACUUUCUGAGCAAAUGUGAGGCCAUACCUUAGUACAAUCAAGUUCUAAAAAAUAUGAAAUUACAUGUUGUAACAAUGAUAGAAGGCUUGUAAGCGUUUACAGAUAAAUAGACCAUGACAACGCCCGCCGCAUCCCCGUCCGCCGCGACGCCACCGAGGCAACAGGUAGAACAUGACGAAGCCACAGAGGCGGUCAGGGCAAUUGAACCGAUGACGAAACAUCAAUACUCCAGGCACAAGAGGACACAAUUGUGGAGCCGGUCCGGGUUGGUGAUCCGUCGACGAUGACGGCGGCCGGACAACUCGAACCUCAAGGUAAAUUGUAGGACAAAUUUGCAAUACAUGACAAUUUCACAACACCAACCUCCUGUCUAUGUUACAGCUGCACCGCAGGAACAACAGAACUCGAUGUCGGGGGGACUAGUGCAAGUAGGUCGAGUAGAAACCCUCGAACACAAAACAAAUGGCCGACCACGGGGCAGGUCAUAAGAGAGGUCGAUGCUAGUGGUAGGCCCACAGCGCCGAGAAGUGUCAUAGCAAGAUGGUCUAACUGCUGCGGGGUGGCGGCACGUGACAAUUUUGGCAUCCUACACAAGGACAUAGGGAAGGUCUCGGAAGCCAAGAAGGAGCGAGCUUGGACGGCUGUGGAAAAAUGGUUCACAUUUCUGGAUGAAGCAAAAGACAGGCUUAAGCGAAAGGCAAUCUAGAAGAUGGGUAAAAGCUUGGAAGAAUUGGAAGUCCAAGCUCCUAAACGAGUACGUCAUCCCGCCCGGCAAUCGGACACCGUUCACCGAGUACCCUCAAAUUAGAGAUAUAGUGUGGGAGUAGUUCCGCUAGCUGAAGAACAUCGACGAGUUUAGGGAGUCAUGUGAGGCACAUCGCCGACUACAACAGCGGAAGGAGCACCCGCAUCGUCUGGGCACAGCCGGGUACAUUGGCAAGGAGUAGAUAUGGGCCCAAGAGGAUGCGGCCGCUGUAGCUACGAAUCUCCCCGCCCCGUUCUCGGACAUUCCAGAACGUCGAGCGCGCAACUGGGCAAGGGCAAGGGGAAAGGUCAACCCGGACGGCUCCAUCACUUUUGAGAACAAAAGUGAUGUCGUCGUCUAUCAGGACCUGGUAAGAUCGCACCUUAGCAUUAGUAAUUCACGUUAGUACGAGGUGAAUGAUUAUUAAAACCUUUCUCGCUUUUUUAUAGUUGAAUUUGGUUGCCGAACAAGCCUCACAGAGCGAGGUGGAGUCCGUGCCGAAGAUGCGCGAGGAUGACAUUCUUACGAAGGCGGAACCAAAGAACAUCCUGGCCGGACACGGGGAAUCGGCGUCGACGUGCCUGGAAACAUGCCCUGGAAACGUGCCCGGGAAACAGCUCCCAGUACAGGAAAUGGAAAGUCUCCAAGGAGGAGAGGGAAGCUCGUUUGAAGGUUGAGCUUGGCAACCAUGGACACCAAGGUGGAAGAAAGGGUUAACAAAGUCUUGGCCGACAUGAACAUACCCCGAGGCACACCACAAGUUGUUCAUCCAACUCCUCGGGCACAUCAUGACGCGAGCCCUACCCCUGGUAGGAGCAGUUGCGCAUCCACAUAGGUGACGGCCCCUGGUCUCCCUGUCGCACCACCACUAGCGGCAGUGGACAAUAUAGAGGUAAUUGAUGUUAUCCGAUCUAAAUGUACUCCAACACCUUUGCACGUUCAAAUAUUAAUUCAUAACUUUACAAAUGCAGAACGUAGCGCAAUGUGCCCUAUUGGUGAGGGUCCACCCAACUGUCGCUCAGGAAGUCGCCGAGGGCAUGGCUUUCAAACCAUCGGUGAGAAAAGGUCUAUGGCGCAGCGCUGCUAUCUGGAUACGCCAAGGUGUCCAUCGAUUCAGUAAAAGAUAAUUGGUCGGCCUAUCCACUGCCUGUGCCCCCAAUGAUGAAAUCAUGACUUUGGGUGAUGCGUGCAAGACAUUCAUACAGUAGCCUAAGGAAGACAUAGUUGUCAAGAUGAUUCCUCGUCCAAGUCGACCGACGGAGCUCACACCUCCCAAGUCUCCCAAGUCAAAGCUUUCUAUCGAGGCUCCGCGUGGACCGGCAAUGUCGUUACCGCAUUCACCGAAUGCACCUGAUAUGGAUUUGGGAGAUAUUACUAAAAACAUGUCUCCGAUCAAGACCACAAGAAAGGCCGAUAGCUCCCCACAAGUUAUCAAGGGACCACAGAAACAUGAACGCGGGGGCGCUAAAGGCAAGGGGAAGUCGAGGAGUCGACACCGGCACCCAAAAGGGGGAAGGCUGCAACUUCAGCGGGGGACACCAAAUCGAGGAAAGUCGAGAAGGCACCGGCCUAAUUUGAAUUGGGCAAGCCAUUGGUGGACGACCAUCUGUUAGUCAUGAUGGGUAUUGUUUGCAGAGAGCUACAUAAACAAUAUAUGGAGCUGAGUAAUGCCAAGCGAAAAAUGAGGGACUCAUCAAUAGUAGGACAUCAUGACCACCAGCCUUAAAUUUGGCCAAAGAGUAUGAUUUCACUGAAAUCAUCAAGGCCUUAAAUUUGGCUUGGGGCCCACAUGUGACAAAGGGUGGUAGGCACAAGGACGGCAAGAGCGAACUUUAUCAUGACACCAAGUUCGCAUGCACACAACAGAUCAGAGACCAAUGUGGGUUCCAUGUGUGCCACAUGUCAACACUUCUAAGAGCGGUAAAAGAUUUUGACCCUGAGGUUGUUGCUAAUGGCAAAGCUUAUUUCGAUAUCAACUUUAUUCUUCUAACCAUUUUAACCCCUGAUUUAUUUAACAGAAAGGUAAAGCUGACACGAAGAUUGUACCCAUCAACCCUCCCGCUAUCAGAGGAAAAGUGUGCGCCUUCAUUCUUGCCGAAUUAAUGAACAAGAAAGGACGUUUCCACACCACUUAGAUAUUUGAACUAGUCUAAUUUAGUGUGAUGUACAAAUUAUAGCUAGUUACUACUCUGAUGUGUUCUCACUCAAGGACCGUCACAGGUGUGUUACCUAUGAUGACUGCUACCUUUGGGCCCGUCACAGGUGUGUUACCUCUUAUGGGUCCUAACUGGCCUAAGGGUUCCGAAAUUGUACACCUCGGACAGGCCGACAAAUAUAUACCCGUCAGAGGUGGAAAUCACCUCAGACGGCUUUUGAGCCGUCAAAGGUGACUCCACUCACCAGUAACCACUGUUCACUGACCAUGGCCUAAACCGUCAUAGGUGAAGGUUUGGACCCGUCACUGGUAACCAUGUCCAGUGUAGUGUGUCACUCCAUUGACGUCAUAAAUAUAUUACAAAACAUAGCUCACAUUGUCUACUGUUUCUUGUAAUUUCUAAAAAUCAUUGAGCAACUAGGAGUAUUCCACAAUAUUUAGAUCGACCUGUGAUCCUCGUAAUAGAUUUUCUCUGUGUCCCUAGGAACCUAUGCCAGCAGUUGUGAAAAAUCGUCAAAUCACGUCUUUCCUCACUACAAUGUGAUAGGUAUAUACCUUUUACAUGCUAGAAUAUACUGGAAACAUUAACUCAAUUUGGAUCGAUGAUGCCGCCGGCUAGCUAUCUGAUACACAUUGAUUCAUAUGUAUGCUUCAUAUGUAUGCUAAUGAAUCUAGACGCACAUAUAAAACGUAUACAUUGGUACAUGUAUUUUUUUUUGAUAAAAGACUCAAAAGAGUCCAGCUUUUACUGAAAGCAUAUAGUAGUUUGUUGGGGUUACCAGCUUACACACCGUCGCAUACAAAAUGUUCAACAGAAGCAGACAAGUGACUGGUGGGCUAAAAGAUUACACAUCGAAAGUAUAGCCAGAAGUCUAAAAAAGCGAUAACUGGAACAACACAAAAGAUUAGCCUAUCCCAGAUCUCCCCCGAUUUAUCACAUCAUUCCUAACAUUCCAGAGUGUCCAAGCAACCCCCAUCAAUAAAGCAAUCCUAACUCUGCUAUUUUUGUUACCAGCACGACCAAUCACUUGAGUGCUAUAUGAUUCAAAGCUAUAGGGCAAAUCUAUCCAAUGAAGACCAUCUGUAAUAAUACACCAAACAAAAACAGCAAUCGGGCAUUCAAAGAUUAUAUGUUGAGCAUUUUCAGGAUUGUUGCAAAGAACACAUAAAUUUGACCCAUCCCAACCUCUCUUUCUCAGCUGAACAGCUGAUUGGAUCCUAUCCUUAGAAGCCAUCCAGCAAAAAUGUUUAAUUUUCAAAGGGCAGGGGGCAUUCAAAAUAUCAUGAAACCUGGCAUCAUUAAUACCUCUAAGAGAAAGAGCCCUGUACAUUGACCUCACAGUAUAUUUCUUGCUCUUCUCCAAUUCCCAUUGUAUAGUAUCAACCUCUACUUCUUUGGUGAAAUUGGCAAUCUCAGCCGAUAACUCUUGCCAUAGACACAGCUCUUCAACUCCAAAAGUUCUUCUGAAGGUUAAAUAGUUAAUAUUACCUAACACCUCUCUGACUAAAACAUCUUGCUAGACCAUAUUAUAAACAACUUGUAAUAUUUGACUUUGAAAGGGACAUCACCAUACCAAACAUCACUCCAGAAUCUAAUAUUUUCUCCAGUAGCACAUUUCCAACUACUCCCAAUCCAGAACCAUCUCUUAACCUGCAUCAAACCCUUCCAAAACUGGGAAGCUCCCACUCCAUUUUUACUAAAAAAAUUAUGUGAGCUAAGAUACGUUUUCCUAAGGAGGUUCAAACACAAGCUCUCUUUAACAGACAGAAUAUCAAAAAUCCAUUUAGAGAGGAGAGCAAAAUUCAUGUAUCUAGUAUCUGUAAAACCUAAACCGCCAAACUCUUUAGGAAAAGACAUAUCUCUCCAUUUGGCCAUAUGAAAUUUCCUUUUGUCACCAAUCCCUGACCAAUAAAAUCUACCUCUGAUAGAAUCUAAUUUCUGAUGAAUACCUUCAGGAAGCAGGUAACACCCCAUUGAGUAAAUAGGAAUACUAGAUAAACAGGAAUUAAUCAGAACAUCUCUUCCUCCAUAAGAGAGUGUAUCACAAUUCCAAAAACUCAGUUUUUUCUCAAUUUUCUCAGGAAUAUAGUUAAACUGGUUUUUGGAAAUUUUAUCUGGACUAAUAGGGAAACCUAGGUAAUUCAUGGGAAACUUACCUCUAGGGAAGUUGAGCAUAUUGGCAACCCUUAACUCUUCUUGGAAAGAAAGACCUACAGCAAAAACCUCACUCUUAUGAAAAUUAAUCUUUAAGCCCGACAUCUCUUCAAAGCAGUACAUUAAAAAUUUUGUAAUACCUAUCUCUUUAUCACAAAAGGGAAGAAAAAUAACAGUCUCAUCAGCAUAUUGAAGGUGGGUUAGUCCUUCAACUAGAUUAGGUACAAUCCUAGAAAGAAAACCUGACUUUUUAGCACUAUCUAGAAUUCCUGCUAAAGCAUCCCCAGCAAAGUUGAACAGGAGAGGAGACAGGGGGUCUCCCUGUCUCAACCCUCUGUAAGUACUAAAAAACCGGGUCCUCUCAUCAUUUAUUUUGAUGCAAACUUUCCCCCCUCUCCUACAAUUGUUAACCCAACCUAUCCACCUCUUAUCAAAACCUUUCUUCUCUAGCACUUCUACAACAAAAUCCCAUCUUAUCCUAUCAUAAGCUUUCUCAAAAUCAAUUUUCCAAAGUACAGCUCAUUCAAUACCUCAUGGGCCAUGACACAACCAUCCAUUAUAUAUCUACAGGUAUGAAUGCAGUUUGAGAAGAAGAGAUGAUGUUAGCAGCAACCUCAGUUAGUCUAUUUGUAAUCACCUUACUAAUUAGUUUAAAACUCUCAUUCAAAACACAGAUAGAUCUAUAUUGUUUAAUACUCGCAGCAUCCCUGAUUUUUGGUAUCAGAGUAAUAAUUCCAAAGUUUAAGCGUUUCAAAUGGAGCUCACCAUGUUGUAACAUAAUCAACAUCUCAAGAAAAUCAUCUCUAAUUUCGUUCCAAAAGGUUUUAUAAAACUGAAUAGGGAAGCCAUCAGGGCCAGGGGCAGUAUGGUUCUUGGCGUUUUUAUUACAGUGUCCAAUUCUUCUCUAGAAAAAUUUCUGGAAAUAAGAGAAAGCUCCUCCCCUGUUAAUCUGUUGUUAUCUUUCCACAUCUCUUCUUUCAGGUGAAUGGUCGACACUCCAUCAUCUUUAAACAACUCUUUAUAGAAAUUAAUGAUAUGCACUCUCAGCUCACCAGGGUCAUUUAAAAUGGUCCCAUUAUCAUCUAAGGAUUUAAUAACUCCUUUUCUUUUUCUGCCAUUAGCAAUUCUAUGGAAGUAAUUGGUAUUCCUAUCCCCAAAAAGAAUCCAUUGAGAUCCACUCCUUUUUUGCCACAUUAGUUCCUCUGUUUCAAACAUGUUUUCUAGCGCACUUUCCAAAUCAUUUCUCUCUUGCCAUUCUCCAGGUAUUAAAUCUCUCUGUGCCGCCAAUUGGUCAAGCCCAUAGAUACUGUCCUCCAACCUUUUUUUUGCAUCUCUCUGAGCUUUCCUAUUAUUUCUACUCCACCCUCUAAGAAACUUUCUAAGGGAAAAAAUUUUCAUGUUCCAAAAAUAUAAGAUAUAGGAACUAUCUCUAUCAGAGAAUUUGGAAAUUAGUAACUCUUUAAAGCCAUCUACUAGGAACCAAGCAGUUUCAAAUCUAAAAUAAGGGUUUGUUCUAUUCUCAGUAACACCAAACUCUAAAAGUAAAGGGGUAUGAUCUGAACCAAUACUGGGGAGGGAACAAAGAGAAGUCAAAGGCCACUUUUGCUCCUAGCUAGAAUUCAUCAGAACUCUAACUAAAACAACCCUCACAGGAAUGCACUGUUUAUUAGACCAGGUAAAUUUAUUACCCUGUCUGUAUACCUCUUUUAGCAUACAGGAAUUUAUAAACUCAUUGAACAUAUCCAUCAUCCCUUCAUCUAUGUUCUCAUUAGAUUUUUCAUCUAUGAAUCUGUACAUAUUAAAGUCUCCUCCAAUAAUCACAGCGCAGUUUUUCUGCUGAAUGAAGCUUUCCAAAUCAGACAGGAACACAGGUUUUAAAGAGUCAACUACUGGACCAUACACAUUAACCAACUCAAAAGAAAUAUAUGUCCCUCUUAUUAACAGACAGUUACUAACAAAAAACUCUCCAACAAAGCUCAAAGGUAUCAUUAUUAAACCCUGUCAAAAUGCCUCCUGAAGCCCCUCUAGAGGGUUUCACAACCCAAUCAAAACUUUUACUAUUAGUUAAGUGGUUAAGUUCACUAUCAAGAAAGGAUUGCUUUUUAGUUUCCUGAAUGCAAACAAUGUCAGCUCUAUUCAGAGAAAUCAACUCUUUCAAUUGCCCUAUUCUAUCUCUUUAUUUCCUAAUCCUCUAACAUUCCAGAAAAGAACUAUCAUCCUGGAGGUUUGUUUUUUUUUUGUCAACCUCUUUUUCUCUUUUCUAUUCUUGUCCCCCUUUUCAUCCUUAUCAGCUAUAUUCUCAUUUUCCUUAUCUAACAACUCUUUUUCUUGCUGGUUCUUGAAAGCUAAUUCAGCUAACUUCCCUUGUGCAAUCUCUUUAGCUCUAAUAGUAUCAAUGUUCUUAGCAAUCUCUAUCUCAUUUUGUCCCAAACAUAUGUUAGCACCUUCAGCAAUUUUAUUCAGUUCCUCAGAAUCAAAUAAUUGAAAAACAUUGAAAGGAUUAGAAAUAGUACCUGCCAGCUCCAAGUUCUUCUUCUGGGUCAGCAUCUCAGCCCUCUUGGUGACUGAAACAGCUUGAUCCCUCUGUCUCUUGCUUUGUCUAGUCGCCACUGGGGGGGGGGGGG
rnacentral:lncRNA from 1 species